rnacentral:rRNA from 1 species
AUGUCUGCCGCCGCAUGCGUCUCCUUCUGCCCCUCCCCCGCGUCCUCUCGCCACGGCGGGCCGAUCGUCGACUUGGCCGGGCUGCCGCCGGCUACGGAGGCGGAGGAGCGCGGCGCCCAGAGGGACCUCCUGGAGUUCGGGGUCAACGGAACGAUCGGCGCCAACAGUGACAGUGACGAAGAUGCUGCUGCUGCUGAGAUCGAUGACGAGGAGGAGCACUCGGUGAGGAGGCCACGGGCGGUGGUUCAGAAGUUCAUGUGCGAACGCAAGGCUGUCGGCGACGGCUUCGCUCUCCGGAGGAGCAUUGGCAGGCCUGAGUUGCAGAGCUUGGAUCCUUUCAUCUCCUUGGAUGAGUUUGAAUUUUCUCGUCCAGCUGGCUUUUCUGAUCAUCCACACCGAGGAUUCGAGAAUGUUACCUACAUGCUUGAGGGAGGCUUGAGUUACCAUGACUUUUCAGGCCACAAGGGCACGAUCAACACCGGAGAUGUUCAGUGGAUGACGGCCGGGCGUGGUGUGGUGCACGCAGAGAUGCCGGGUGGUGAGGGGGUGCAGAGGGGCCUCAACCUCUGGCUCAACCUCUCCUCAACAGACAAGAUGGUGGCGCCGAGGUACCAGGAGCUGAGGAGCCGCGACGUCCCCACGGCGGAGAAGGACGGCGCGUCCAUCAAGGUCAUCGCCGGCGAGGCCCUGGGCGCGCGCUCGCCGAUCCAGACGCGCACCCCGGCCAUGUGGCUCGACGUGACCAUGCGGCCCGGCGCGCGCCUGCGCCAGCCCGUCCCAGCCGGCUGGAGCGCGUGCGCCUACGUCAUCGACGGCGAGGCCAGCUUCGGCCAGCCAGGGGACGAGGCGGCCGGCGCGCAUCACUGCGUCGUGUUUGGCGGCGACGGCGAUGGCGUGGACGUGCGGAGCGAAGGCGCGGGGACCCGGUUCUUGCUGCUGGCGGCGCGGCCGCAUGGCGAGGCGGUGGCGCUGGACGGGCCCUUCGUGAUGAACACGAGCGAGGAGGUGCAACAGGCCAGGGAGGACUACCUGAACCGCCGCAACGGCUUCGAGAUGGCCGCCGGCUGGACCUCUGGCCAGUGA